GGGGAGACUAGAGCUUCCUUGGUUAAAUCCUUUUAGUAUAUAUUAAACUGUAACCCUUUGGUGCUUAUUUGUAAACUGCUAACGUCACUCAUGCAAUGCUACUACUGAGACAAAAUCUGGGAUGAUGUAGCAAAGAUGCCUCGCAGUUAUUUUACAUCGGAGAUUUUGGCCAGGGACACUUUUGAAAGGGGCAAUGAAAUGUGUCCUAUAAUUGUUGUUCCAAUGAUGUUUUCAUGUUUACAGUUACUUAUUUCAUGAGCUAACUUACCGUGACUUGUCACACUUUGUUUUUUUCUACCGGCGCAACAUUUCACCGAUACGAUAGAACCCCCGAUAGAACUGGAGCCGUCAUAUCGGGCCCCGAUAUAUCGGUGACCGAUAAUCGGUCGGUCACUACUUUAAACUGCUCUCAGUGUCCUCCACCGUCAUCAUAUUUCUGUCUCGACAGUCGCUGCCAUCGUCCUGCUGCUCUCUGGUCUUCAGUUUGCUCAGUGCUUUCCAACAGAUGGAAACACUUCUACACAGCUGUUUGUCUGCAAGAACGCAGGAUGUGCUGCCAAUGUGUCUAACGUCUUUUGCCAAGAUGAGCCCGUGUUUACCAGCAGCAGGUCCAUGCCACAGUGCACAGGACCUCCAGCACUAAACACAGUCUGUGAGCUUAGUGGUCGGGCCAUCGUUUCCACUUCUACAAAUGCCACCUGUGACUUUGAAGGGAAGGAUGGUUAUAUCCCAACUGGAAACUGUGCAGACCACGGGGACAUUUGCAGUUUUCCAGCUACAUCACCACCAGCUACAUCACCACCAGCUACCACGUCACCACCAGCU